GAUGAAGAACUCAGCGAAAUGCGAUACGUAAUGUGAAUUGCAGAAUUCAGUGAAUCAUCGAAUCUUUGAACGCAUAUUGCGCUCUCUGGUAUUCCGGAGAGCAUGCUUGUUUGAGUAUCAGUAAACACCUCAACUUCCAUAUCUUUUUUGAAAUGGGAGUUGGACUUGAGUGAUCCCAACGCUUUUCCUCACCGAAAAGUGGCGGGUUACUUGAAAUGCAGGUGCAGCUGGACUUUUCUCUGAGCUAUAAGCAUAUCUAUUUAGUCUGCCUAAAAAACAGAUUAUUACCUUUGCUGCAGCUAACAUAAAGGAGAUUAGUUCUUGUGCUGACUGAUGCAGGAUUCACAGAGACAGCUUCGGCUGGCCUUUGUAAACUCGAUCUCAAAUCAAGUAAGACUACCCGCUGAACUUAAGCAUAUCAAUAAGCGGAGGA
rnacentral:misc_RNA from 1 species